UUUUUUAACUCAAGUUAUGGCCAAAAUACAAUUACUGUUCACGUGCACUGUUCAUGCUGCAAUUUAGGUUCUGGCAGAUUUUUUAUCCAACUUCAUUCAAUAAUUUGAUCAAGUUAAGUCCAUAAUUUGGUCUAAUUUUCUUCAUAUGAAAUGUUCUACUAUGUCUUAGGUUUUCAUCGGUUUAAGAAUCGCCUAAAUCAGAGUUUUCUAGAGAAAGUUAUAGCCUAUUAACCAUUCAGAGGUCACCCGGCACAUUUGCUGGAAUUAAGAAAUUUCAGCAUUGUCAUUUCUAACUUACUCUAACAAUUUCACUAAGUUACCUUAAGAUCUAGGUUCAGGUCAAAAGAGAAAAGUUUUAGUUCUAUGUCUUAUGAAAAUUUUUGCUUUGGAAUGACCUCAUUUGCAGUUUUGUUGCUUAAGUUGUAGCAAUUUUACCAAAACUGGUUGGGUACCUAAUAUUCAGGAUUUUCAGCUUUGGCCCAGGAACAGGGCAAAUUUGCUGGACUAACUUUGCUUAGCAAUUUAGUUGAGUUAAGUUCAUAAUUUGGCC
rnacentral:misc_RNA from 1 species